GAUGAACGCUGGCGGCGUGCCUAAUACAUGCAAGUCGAGCGAACGGACGAGAAGCUUGCUUCUCUGAUGUUAGCGGCGGACGGGUGAGUAACACGUGGAUAACCUACCUAUAAGACUGGGAUAACUUCGGGAAACCGGAGCUAAUACCGGAUAAUAUUUUGAACCGCAUGGUUCAAAAGUAAAAGACGGUCUUGCUGUCACUUAUAGAUGGAUCCGCGCUGCAUUAGCUAGUUGGUAAGGUAACGGCUUACCAAGGCAACGAUGCAUAGCCGACCUGAGAGGGUGAUCGGCCACACUGGAACUGAGACACGGUCCAGACUACUACGGGAGGCAGCAGUAGGGAAUCUUCCGCAAUGGGCGAAAGCCUGACGGAGCAACGCCGCGUGAGUGAUGAAGGUCUUCGGAUCGUAAAACUCUGUUAUUAGGGAAGAACACAUGUGUAAGUAACUGUGCACAUCUUGACGGUACCUAAUCAGAAAGCCACGGCUAACUACGUG
rnacentral:rRNA from 1 species